UACAGAGGGUGCAAGCGUUGUCCGGAAUCACUGGGCGUAAAGGGCGUGUAGGCGGGAAGGUAAGUCGGGCGUGAAAUCCCUGGGCUCAACCCAGGAACUGCACUCGAAACUACUUUUCUUGAGUGCCGGAGAGGAAAGCGGAAUUCCUGGUGUAGAGGUGAAAUUCGUAGAUAUCAGGAGGAACACCAGUGGCGAAGGCGACUACCUGGCCUGUUCUUGACGCUGAGGCGCGAAAGCUAGGGGAGCAAACGGG
rnacentral:rRNA from 1 species